AUUGAACGCUGGCGGCAGGCCUAACACAUGCAAGUCGAGCGAGCGGCGGACGGGUGAGUAAUGUAUGGGGAUCUGCCCGAUAGAGGGGGAUAACUACUGGAAACGGUAGCUAAUACCGCAUACUAUCGGAUGUACCCAUAUGGGAUUAGCUAGUAGGUGGGGUAACGGCUCACCUAGGCGACGAUCCCUAGCUGGUCUGAGAGGAUGAUCAGCCACACUGGAACUGAGACACGGCCCAGACUCCUACGGGAGGCAGCAGUGGGGAAUAUUGCACAAUGGGCGCAAGCCUGAUGCAGCCAUGCCGCGUGUAUGAAGAAGGCCUUCGGGUUGUAAAGUACUUUUAGCAGGGAGGCGGUAUCUGCAGAAGAAGCACCGGCUAACUACGUGCCAGCAGCCGCGGUAAUUC
rnacentral:rRNA from 1 species